AUGUUCAUAACCCUUUGUUGUCCGACUCUGUUGCCUCCGGGGCGACCCUGCCUUCGGGCGGGGGCUCCGGGUGGACACUUCAAACUCUUGCGUAACUUUGCAGUCUGAGUAAACUUAAUUAAUAAAUUAAAACUUUUAACAACGGAUCUCUUGGUUCUGGCAUCGAUGAAGAACGCAGCGAAAUGCGAUAAGUAAUGUGAAUUGCAGAAUUCAGUGAAUCAUCGAAUCUUUGAACGCACAUUGCGCCCCCUGGUAUUCCGGGGGGCAUGCCUGUUCGAGCGUCAUUUCACCACUCAAGCCUCGCUUGGUAUUGGGCAACGCGGUCCGCCGCGUGCCUCAAAUCGACCGGCUGGGUCUUCUGUCCCCUAAGCGUUGUGGAAACUAUUCGCUAAAGGGUGUUCGGGAGGCUACGCCGUAAAACAACCCCAUUUCUAAGGUUGACCUCGGAUCAGGUAGGGAUACCCGCUGAACUUAAGCAUAUCAAUAAGUCGGAGGAAA
rnacentral:rRNA from 1 species